rnacentral:piRNA from 1 species
UGGUGAUUCCCAAACCUACUUAUACAAAGAA